CAUAGUUAGGACCGGUCAACUUGUUGGCAUCUAGGAUGCCUCUUAGUGAUAGUGAAGAUGCCAUUAAUGAUUCUACAUAAGUAAGAACAAAACUAACAUAAGCAGACCAAUCAUGAUGACACAUAUGCAAUUAGACUAGGACUUUAUCUAAUUGUUGCUCCUACUAUUUUUAUCGAAUAUCAUAGCCCUCUCCUAUGAUAAAC
rnacentral:lncRNA from 1 species